UACGUAGGGCGCAAGCGUUAUCCGGAAUUAUUGGGCGUAAAGAGCUCGUAGGCGGUUUGUCGCGUCUGCCGUGAAAGUCCGGGGCUCAACUCCGGAUCUGCGGUGGGUACGGGCAGACUAGAGUGAUGUAGGGGAGACUGGAAUUCCUGGUGUAGCGGUGGAAUGCGCAGAUAUCAGGAGGAACACCGAUAGCGAAGGCAGCUCGCUGGGACGUACUGACGCUGAGGUGCGAAAGCGUGGGGAGCGAACAGG
rnacentral:rRNA from 1 species